CACUGGGCUUGUGCUCACUGUC
rnacentral:miRNA from 1 species